rnacentral:rRNA from 1 species
AGAGUUUGAUCCUGGCUCAGAUUGAACGCUGGCGGAAUGCUUUACACAUGCAAGUCGAACGGCAGCACGGGGGCAACCCUGGUGGCGAGUGGCGAACGGGUGAGUAAUACAUCGGAACGUGCCCAGUCGUGGGGGAUAACGCAGCGAAAGCUGUGCUAAUACCGCAUACGAUCUACGGAUGAAAGCGGGGGACUCGCAAGGGCCUCGCGCGAUUGGAGCGGCCGAUGGCAGAUUAGGUAGUUGGUGGGGUAAAGGCUCACCAAGCCUGCGAUCUGUAGCUGGUCUGAGAGGACGACCAGCCACACUGGGACUGAGACACGGCCCAGACUCCUACGGGAGGCAGCAGUGGGGAAUUUUGGACAAUGGGCGCAAGCCUGAUCCAGCCAUUCCGCGUGCGGGAUGAAGG